ACUGAUAGAAUUAAGAGUGUUUUAGAUGAAGAACAUGAUGAACUUGCAAGAAUAGAAGAGAGAGAACCAGAGAAACAUAAAAUGAUUUCCUUGAUUCAUUUGGAACAUGUUACACUCACAUUUAAAGGAAAAAUACUCAGAAUAAGUUGACAAUAAGAAUGAAUAAACUAAUACUGCUGAAGUAGGAUAAAUUUGCACAACAACCGGAUGAUAGUGACUAAUCUGAACUCUCUCUUCCUUAACCAAACAUGUGAUCUUUUUUUUUUUUUUAUAAUAAAACCAACCCGUAAGGGAAUACUGGAACAGGCUUCCGGCUAACCGAAAGAGAAACAAUGAAACUCCAAAAUAGAUUAGGCUUAUCUAUAAGACCAAGGAAAAGUAAACCAAAAACACAAUGGGAGGGAAAGAUUCUCGGCUCAAUGUACCGUGCCCGGUCACAUGUCCUUGCCAGAGAAACGCGGCCAACGAUGCCGACUUAACCGAAAUCAAGCCGACCACUGCAUCUCUAGUUCCUUCUCUAAACAGCGCCGACACACAGAUUAGAGUCUCACCUGAGCUUCUAUCAACCACCUGACUGACCUGAGUCCGGGAAAUGAAAGAGGAUUACACGAUCAGGGUUUACCGCCAUCCCUAACCAAUCCUUUUCCGCCCCUAAAACUCAAGUCAGAACAGGUACAUCCCCACCAACCACACUCCGCACCUCAGGGGUUCAAGAAACUCAGCUCCAACGUAUUAACUAGGAACUCGCCCGGGACAUUCAAGCUCGGUAUCCGAUAAAUACAUAACGAAAAUAUAGAAACACCAAGAGUGAGGGUAGACGACCUAACCAACACGCUGGAGAUGCAAGAAGACGGACUCGAGGGACUACACGAGACCACAGCUAGCUCGCCUGAAGUUGACUCUGAGAACCAGAGACCAAUUUCUUCACUAACGUCAAGUGAUUAACCUGCGACAGAAGGUGAAUCCAAACACAUAAAUACAAGAGCACACUUCAAAAAAGCAAGCCGGCAGCUUCAAAGAAGAUCUGGGAACCGGGACACCGGGCAGGGAAGACGGAUGAGAGGGAGGUCGACAAGACUGCCCCGGGACGGCCAUAGACGACCAUACCGGACUGCAAACACUGCAAGACUCCACACGCCAAGGCUUGCAACCCUGGCACGCGCUAGGUCAAUCGCUAACCGUAACGCCUGCCGACGAGGAACUGAACACUCCGAAGCACUCAAGGCCAUCGGAAGGGAGGCCGUAAACCUCCAAGACUCCAAGGAGGAAAACCGCACCUGACUCCGAGACUUCACCUCCGAAACGCCGACGUUUUCAGAUCUGAGAAGAUCUAAGCCGGAUCUGGAAGGAGGAGCCAAUCUCCACCACCACGCGCCGCCGCCUCUACAAGUGGGUUAGGUGAAUUUGAAAACUGAAACCCACUUGUGAAAGCCCUAAAAACGCCGACCCUACUCACCCACAGCUGCUACACCAACCUCGUAGUGUCACUAGAGGUAGAAGACGACCACCAGAUUCGGCCUAGGUUCCUCCACCGGCAGAUCUCGUUUUCCAGAAACACCCACAUAUCGGAGAGUGAACAGACGGGGGAGUAGGGCAAA